rnacentral:rRNA from 1 species
CGGUUGCGGCGUCUUACACAUGCAGUCGAACGAUGAUGCCCAGCUUGCUGGGCGGAUUAGUGGCGAACGGGUGAGUAACACGUGAGUAACCUGCCCUUGACUUCGGGAUAACUCCGGGAAACCGGGGCUAAUACCGGAUAUGAGCCGUCCUCGCAUGGGGGUGGUUGGAAAGUUUUUCGGUCAGGGAUGGGCUCGCGGCCUAUCAGCUUGUUGGUGGGGUGAUGGCCUACCAAGGCGACGACGGGUAGCCGGCCUGAGAGGGCGACCGGCCACACUGGGACUGAGACACGGCCCAGACUCCUACGGGAGGCAGCAGUGGGGAAUAUUGCACAAUGGGCGCAAGCCUGAUGCAGCGACGCCGCGUGAGGGAUGAAGGCCUUCGGGUUGUAAACCUCUUUCAGCAGGGAAGAAGCGCAAGUGACGGUACCUGCAGAAGAAGCGCCGGCUAACUACGUGCCAGCAGCCGCGGUAAUACGUAGGGCGCAAGCGUUGUCCGGAAUUAUUGGGCGUAAAGAGCUCGUAUGCGGUUUGUCGCGUCUGGUGUGAAAACUCGAGGCUCAACCUCGAGCUUGCAUCGGGUACGGGCAGACUAGAGUGCGGUAGGGGAGACUGGAAUUCCUGGUGUAGCGGUGGAAUGCGCAGAUAUCAGGAGGAACACCGAUGGCGAAAGGCAGGGUCUCUGGGGCCGCAAACUGACGCUGAGGAGCGAAGCAUGGGGGAGCGAACAGGAUUAGAUACCCUGGGUAGUCCAUGCCGUAACGUUGGGCACUACGUGUGGGGGCUCAUUCCACGAGUUCCCGUUGACCGGCAAGCCAAACGCAUUAAGUUGACCCCUGACUGGGGGAAGUACUGGACCGCUAGCCUCAAACUCAAAGGAAAUUGGAG